rnacentral:rRNA from 1 species
UGAACGCUGGCGGCAUGCUUACACAUGCAAGUCGGACGGCAGCACAGAGAAGCUUGCUUCUUGGGUGGCGAGUGGCGAACGGGUGAGUAAUAUAUCGGAACGUACCGAGCAGUGGGGGACAACUAAUCGAAAGAUUAGCUAAUACCGCAUAUUUUCUGAGGAAGAAAGCAGGGGGCCAUUUGGCCUUGCGCUGUUUGAGCGGCCGAUAUCUGAUUAGCUGGUUGGUGGGGUAAAGGCCUACCAAGGCGACGAUCAGUAGCGGGUCUGAGAGGAUGAUCCGCCACACUGGGACUGAGACACGGCCCAGACUCCUACGGGAGGCAGCAGUGGGGAAUUUUGGACAAUGGGCGCAAGCCUGAUCCAGCCAUGCCGCGUGUCUGAAGAAGGCCUUCGGGUUGUAAAGGACUUUUGUCAGGGAAGAAAAGGAUAGGGUUAAUACCCCUGUCUGAUGACGGUACCUGAAGAAUAAGCACCGGCUAACUACGUGCCAGCAGCCGCGGUAAUACGUAGGGUGCGAGCGUUAAUCGGAAUUACUGGGCGUAAAGCGGGCGCAGACGGUUACUUAAGCAGGAUGUGAAAUCCCCGGGCUCAACCUGGGAACUGCGUUCUGAACUGGGUGACUAGAGUGUGUCAGAGGGAGGUAGAAUUCCACGUGUAGCAGUGAAAUGCGUAGAGAUGUGGAGGAAUACCGAUGGCGAAGGCAGCCUCCUGGGAUAACACUGACGUUCAUGCCCGAAAGCGUGGGUAGCAAACAGGAUUAGAUACCCUGGUAGUCCACGCCCUAAACGAUGUCGAUUAGCUGUUGGGCAGCAUGACUGCUUAGUAGCGAAGCUAACGC